rnacentral:rRNA from 1 species
CCCUACGGGGCGCAGCAGUGGGGAAUAUUGCACAAUGGGCGAAAGCCUGAUGCAGCGACGCCGCGUGAAGGAUGAAGUAUUUCGGUAUGUAAACUUCUAUCAGCAGGGAAGAAAAUGACGGUACCUGACUAAGAAGCCCCGGCUAACUACGUGCCAGCAGCCGCGGUAAUACGUAGGGGGCAAGCGUUAUCCGGAUUUACUGGGUGUAAAGGGAGCGUAGACGGCGAUGCAAGCCAGAUGUGAAAGCCCGGGGCUCAACCCCGGGACUGCAUUUGGAACUGUGUGGCUGGAGU